rnacentral:piRNA from 1 species
UCAAGUAACGUCGUGUCCCAGCGAUGCAAAG